GCGGGGUUAACUGGUAUGAGGUGAGAUGACGUCUAAUCAUCAUGCCCCUUAUGACUUGGGCUAACUUCAUGUCCCUUAGGGCCUGGGGUAAUCCCUGGGUAGCGGUGAAAUGGGUAAAAUUUUUGAGGAACACCGGUGGCGAAAGCGGCUCUCUGGUCUGUAACUGAAGCUGAAGCUCCGAAGGCUGGGGAAGAAACAGGAAUAGAUACCCUGGGAGUCCCCGCCGUAAACGAUGAGUGCUAAGUGGUGGGACCUUUUCGGGCCUUCGUGCCGCAGCUAACGCAUUAAGCACUCCGCCUGGGGGGUACGACCGCCAGGUUGAAACUUCAAGGAAUUGACGGGGGCCCGCACAAGCCGGUGGAGCAUGUGGUUUUAUUCGAAGCAACGCGAAGAACCUUACCCGGGCUUGACCUCCCCUUGACCGUCCUAGAGAUAGGAUUUUUCUUUCGGAACACUGGUGACGGGUGGUGCAUGGUUGGCGUCAGCCUCGGGUCGUGAAAGGUGGGUUAGUCCCCGCACGAGCGCACCCCUUAUUGUAGUUGCAUCAUCAGUGGGCACUCUAGCGAGACUGCCGGUGAUAAACCGGGGAAGGUGGGGAUGACGUCAAAUCUCAUGCCCUAUGUGGGUAACC
rnacentral:rRNA from 1 species